AUGGACAAAGGAAAUGUUUUACGCUGGGUUUAUUCUGCACGUCAAUGUAUUAUUAUUAUCAACUAUUUUAUUUUUCAUUUUAUUUUAUUUAUUUAUUUGUUGCAUUUUUCUUUUAAUAA
rnacentral:ribozyme from 12 species